rnacentral:lncRNA from 1 species
AUGAGGGUUUUUAUUUGUAGUAAAGUGCAAAUCGGAGGUGUGAUGUGUGUGACCUCCCAAGAUUGUCUGCAAAAAUAUGUGGGCAUAGCCCAAACACACUGUGUCUGGACAGUCCACAGCUCUCAUUCUAUUCUCAGAGGGGUGAGGGAUUCCAAAGGGGUUAAUGUCCACUCACAUAGAAGCCAGAGGAAGACAGAUCACAGCUCUCAUUCUAUUCUCAGAGGGGUGAGGGGUUCCAAAGGGGUUAAUGUCCACUCACGUAGAAGCCAGAGGAAGACAGAUCACAGCUCUCAUUCUAUUCUCAGAGGGGUGAGGGGUUCCAAAUGGGUCAAUGUCCACUCACGUAGAAGCCAGAGGAAGACAGAUCACAGCUCUCAUUCUAUUCUCAGAGGGGUGAGGGGUUCCAAAGGGGUUAAUGUCCAUUCACAUAGAAGCCAGAGGAAGACAGAUCACAGCUCUCAUUCUAUUCUCAGAGGGGUGAGGGGUUCCAAAGGGGCUAAUGUCCACUCACGUAGAAGCCAGAGGAAGACAGAUCACAGCUCUCAUUCUAUUCUCAGAGGGGUGAGGGGUUCCAAAGGGGUUAAUGUCCAUUCACAUAGAAGCCAGAGGAAGACAGAUCACAGCUCUCAUUCUAUUCUCAGAGGGGUGAGGGGUUCCAAAGGGGCUAAUGUCCACUCACGUAGAAGCCAGAGGAAGACAGAUCACAGCUCUCAUUCUAUUCUCAGAGGGGUGAGGGGUUCCAAAGGGGUUAAUGUCCAUUCACAUAGAAGCCAAAGGGAGACAGAUCACAGCUCUCAUUCUAUUCUCAGAGGGGUGAGGGGUUCCAAAGGGGCUAAUGUCCACUCACGUAGAAGCCAGAGGAAGACAGAUCACAGCUCUCAUUCUAUUCUCAGAGGGGUGAGGGGUUCCAAAGGGGUUAAUGUCCAUUCACAUAGAAGCCAGAGGAAGACAGAUCACAGCUCUCAUUCUAUUCUCAGAGGGGUGAGGGGUUCCAAAGGGGUUAAUGUCCACUCACGUAGAAGCCAGAGGAAGACAGAUCACAGCUCUCAUUCUAUUCUCAGAGGGGUGAGGGGUUCCAAAUGGGUUAAUGUCCACUCACGUAGAAGCCAGAGGAAGACAGAUCACAGCUCUCAUUCUAUUCUCAGAGGGGUGAGGGGUUCCAAAGGGGUUAAUGUCCACUCACGUAGAAGCCAGAGGAAGACAGAUCACAGCUCUCAUUCUAUUCUCAGAGGGGUGAGGGGUUCCAAAUGGGUCAAUGUCCACUCACGUAGAAGCCAGAGGAAGACAGAUCACAGCUCUCAUUCUAUUCUCAGAGGGGUGAGGGGUUCCAAAUGGGUUAAUGUCCACUCACGUAGAAGCCAGAGGAAGACAGAUCACAGCUCCCAUUCUAUUCUCAGAGAGGUGAGGGGUUCCAAAGGGGUAAUGUCCACUCACGUAGAAGCCAGAGGAAGACAGAUCACAGCUCCCAUUCUAUUCUCGGAGGGGUGA